rnacentral:rRNA from 1 species
GACAGAGGGUGCGAACGUUGUUCGGAAUUACUGGGCGUAAAGCGCGUGUAGGCGGCAGCGCAAGUCGGGCGUGAAAUCCCACGGCUCAACCGUGGAAGUGCACUCGAAACUGCGCAGCUAGAGUCCUGGAGAGGAAGGUGGAAUGCUUGGUGUAGAGGUGAAAUUCGUAGAUAUCAAGCGGAACACCGGUGGCGAAGGCGGCCUUACUGGACAGUGACUGACGCUGAGACGCGAAAGCGUGGGGAGCAAACAGGG